GACGAACGCUGGCGGCGUGCCUAAUACAUGCAAGUAGAACGCUGAAGGAGGAGCUUGCUUCUCUGGAUGAGUUGCGAACGGGUGAGUAACGCGUAGGUAACCUGCCUGGUAGCGGGGGAUAACUAUUGGAAACGAUAGCUAAUACCGCAUAAGAGUAGAUGUUGCAUGACAUUUGCUUAAAAGGUGCAAUUGCAUCACUACCAGAUGGACCUGCGUUGUAUUAGCUAGUUGGUGGGGUAACGGCUUACCAAGGCGACGAUACAUAGCCGACCUGAGAGGGUGAUCGGCCACACUGGGACUGAGACACGGCCCAGACUCCUACGGGAGGCAGCCGUAGGGAAUCUUCGGCAAUGGACGGAAGUCUGACCGAGCAACGCCGCGUGAGUGGAGAAGGUUUUCGGAUCGUAAAGCUCUGUUGUAAGGGAAGAACGAGUGUGAGAGUGGAAAGUUCACACUGUGACGGUAUCUUAACAGAAAGGGACGGCUAACUACGUG
rnacentral:rRNA from 1 species